AUAUUCAUCCUAGGAAAGUCUACAUUCGCAAUAUCAUCGAUCACAACAAAGACUAGUCGAUCAUUCUCUAAUUUUUUAUCUCUCAAUCUUCGACUAUGGAAUUCUUUAAAACUUUCUGUCUUCGAAGAUCAUUGGGAAUGAUGAUAGUAAGAAACGAACCAAGAGCUAACACAAUACAGAGGAAAAUAUUCGCCCAAAAAUCACCCCAAACGUGCAAGAAAUAUCCGUAGAUAGUCGUGAAGAUGAUACCGAAUACUUGGCACAUUGCGUUUAGUAGACCAGCGGAUGUUCCUUCCGGUUCCGGAUAUGUCAAUUCCGCGGCAAAUUCGAAACCCACUGGAAGAUAGCCAGUCAUAAAGAAUCUGAAAAAAUAUUUUGAGAAGAAUUCAAAAUCAUAUUAAAGAUUUUAUAAAUUAGAUUUUUAUUAUUAUUUAGGAAAAUUUCAGAUUUUUACAGCUUUUUUUUUUGUAAAUAUUAAAAAUGAGAAUGAUAAAUAUUUUUGAACAAUUCAUAAAUAGAUUUAUAUAGAAUUUAUAAAAUAUAUUGACUAAAGAAUAAAAUAAAGAGAAAAGUAGUAAUUGAAUUUCAUUAAAUAUUCUAAAUUCUUAAUGAAAAUUAAGAAAUAUGAAUUAUUCUUACCCUAAUGUGCCGGCUAUUAUAUAAAUGGUGAAUAUUUGAUUGGUGGACAUUAGAGUGAAUGUGAAUAUAAUUAUGCCCAGAAAGGAAAAAAGAUAAACGCCUGAUGUUGUCUCUCUACAAAUAAAAAAAUUUUAAAUUGAUAAUUAAUCAACGAGAGAAAUAUAAUAUAAGUUAAUUUUUAUAUUGAGAAGAUUUACUCACUUGAAUUUGCGCGUUUUAUCAAGCACAAUACCACAAACCACAGAACCUAACAUACCAGCGCAGAUGAUGGUCAAUCCGAUUCUUCCAGCAUCUUUUUCAUGAUUCUGAAUUUUUAUAUAACGAUAUAAAUAACGAUAAUAAAUAGAAAUUUAAUAGAGAAAUAAUAUAAAUCUUAAAAUAAAGAAAAAAUAGAUAUUAAAAGUAAAAACUUACAGGAAAAUAUUGAAGAAUUAUCUGAUUGAGAAGCGUGCUGAUGGCAUAGAACACGCCUACGUUGAUACCAUAACUGAACAAUAGUAACAAGUAACCGACGUUUGUGAUUAGUUUCUUCAUGGAAAUGAAGAAUCUUUUCGGCGUUUCGUUCUCUCUCUGAAUUUGAGCUUGUGCUUGAUUCGGAGGAAGCGGUGGUUUAGACUUAAAAACUAGAGGAAAAUAUUAUUUCAAUAUGAAGGACUGGAAAAUUGUAAUGAUCCCAUCAUGAGCUAUCCCGACAAGAGUUCCGUUCUCGAAAGCUUGUGCUCGAAGAGCGGCAAACUUGGCAGUCACGUCAUAAACAGCAAGACGUGAAGAACGAUUGAUGUACGUAUUCUAAGAAUAGAAUUCCUUUAAUCGAACAGAAAUACUUCUUCGAAUAAAAUAUUCAAUAUUCUCGAACCAUACAUGUGUAUACUUGGGAUAGAAAAAAAAAGAUUCUCGGAUCAUCAUCUGUAUACUCGAGACAGAAGAAAAAACUAUAUCAAAGUUGAUAAAGUAAUCUGAUCGACGGUGCACCUUGAAUAGAUUAUCUUCCUACGAGAAGGGGUGAUCUGUUUGAAAUACAUAGGUUUAAUUCGCUGAAUGGGGUCCCAGCUCCCCCUCGUACCGCCGCGAAAUGAAACGUGGGUGCACGUUAGGAUUCUGUUUCCCAUCUAAUCACUACUUCAUUCUCCAACGACCCUGUCUCUCGAAUUAGAGUUUUACUACACAGAUAUGUUCGCUUUGUUGGCUCCAUCCAGUUGAAAAUUUGGCGCGCGAUUCUAUUGCUAUUGUUUCGAGUAAAGUGAUCGAAUAAUUAAUGGAUCUUUGAAACAAUAAUUGAGACAAUGGUCUGGUAUCAUAACAAGGACUUUUGGAGAUGAGGAUAAAGGAAAUAGGAAAUUAAUAAUCAAAGGGGCUUAGAAAAGAGAUGUUGCACGAGAUGUUCGAGAUAUAAUUUUCCUCAAAAAUGAAGUAAGAAAUCAAAGUAUUUGAUUCUAUAUCUUUUAUAUAUUUUCAUAUGAAAAAUUAUCUUUACAUUAUAAACAAUAUAAAUGUUAAUUAAAAAAUUUACAUCUACUAACUAACCUGAUUUCCAAAAACGCCGAUGCUGCACGCGCUGCUGACCUGAUUUAAAUCGAACCAAACAGCGGCCAAACGAGCUGGAACCGAUAAGAUGAACGUUUGGCUCACAGCAACGAAUGUUUGACCGAUGAAGGUAACCCAGAACCGAUCUGGACUUACGCUAAACACUUUUAUCCAAGAACCGGUCAUCGUUCCGAUCGCGCCUGUCAAAACGGCGAACCUGAGGCCCUGAAAUCGACGAUUACGUGAAAAAUAAUGGAAUGAAUUCUGAAAAAAAAUUAUUUUUUAGAAAAAGAAAGAUUCUUUUUUUUAUAAAGAAGUGGUAAACUCUUAUCUUUUCUUCGUACUUUGAAAUAUUAAAAAUUUUAUUAUUAGAUAUAUAAACCUGCAGUAUUUUCUUAUGAUCCAUUAAUCUUCAAAUUUGUUUAGAUAUGGAGUCAAGACUUUCUGUCGCACUUUCUUUACAAUAUCUUUCAACACGUUCAAGAAGAAAAGAAAAUAAAGAUAAUAAUUUGAUAGAGUGUUUACACCUGUUUUCAAGAUCAAGGAUUAAGAUAUGUGUCGAGAGAAGAAUUAGAAGAAUUGAUCUGUUAAUCUUAUGAUAUGUUUCGAUAUAAUAAUUUUUUCUACGAUUCUCUUAUCUUUUAUAUAGUGUCAAUCCAUAAUGUAACGUUUCUCAAUAAGAGAUAGAUACUCUCAAUAAAAUUGAUUAGUUUCAAUGGAUAAGGAAAAAUUAAUUGCAAUACGGAUAAGAAGAAUCAUUUUUGCAGACAGGAAAAUAUAAAAAGCAGUCAAAUAAAUUUAAUAAUAAAUUUAACAACCAUACUUACGAAUCUGUCGAGUAAAUAACUUGCUGGAAAGAUGAAGGGAAUAUAAGUUAUCAUGUAUAUCAUGCUGGUCAUAUCCACUGAAAAAGUGGAUACAUUGUAAUAUAUCGUUACGAUAUUUGCAAUGAUGCUGUAUUGAAUCCAUUGCAUCGAGUUGCUGGCGCUGUACAGCACGAAAAUAAUUAGAAUCAGCCAUCGUCGUUUGUACACUUUCGUCUCGAUUACCUGUGAGAGAAUCAUUAUUCAAAUUAGAAAUUUUUGUAAAUGUAAAUUUUGAUAAUAGUAAAUUUUCAUCGAAUUUAAUUAAAUUUUAUUAAAAUAGUA